rnacentral:misc_RNA from 1 species
CGCCCCUGGAGCCCGGCUCCUGUGAUGGGCGUCGUCCGGCCGCGCGCGGUCUCCGUGUGCCCCGGACGCGCCCCGAACGCAGCGGCGGUGCCGCGAUCCCCGGCGCCUGAGCGAAUGGGUGAACUGGUAAAGCAGGUCUCUCGCUCCAAGGCCCGGGCCGGCGCCCGCCUACAGACCGGGCGGCCUCAGGCCGUCCUGCCCAUGAA